rnacentral:lncRNA from 1 species
GACCUCAGGUGAUCCACCCACCUCAGCCUCCCAGAGUGCUGAGAUUACAGGCAUCAGUCACCACGCCCGGCCUGACUUAUAUUUUAAGCAAGUUCGCAGUUUUUUUCGAGAUAGCAGUCCUGGGAAUAUUCUGAAUUCUGGAAAGAGUUUAGAGAGGUUAUUGCCUUCUUAAUAAUUUAGAGCGUCUAUUGCUCUGCCAAGUCAGAAGAUUAACAUUUAAUAGAAAAAAAUUAUAUAUCUAUAAUUCAGUCACAGCUAUUAGAUCAGAUGGAUUUUGCAUUAAGUGAAAAAGAUGUUGAGCAUUUAAGGACCAUUAAACUACAGGACUCUAUUGGGUUUUAAGGCCUCGAAGCCAGGGUCCUGCUGCGAAGAGUAUUUAUUUUACAUAUACAGAACCCAUUAAGGAUGGGAAAGGGGCACACAUUUUAAAAGAAAAUAGGCCAUGAAAAAGUGUGAUUUUCCACAUUGUGAACAGCUACCAAACAGAUUCAGUCUUACAAUAAUUAGUUUUAUGCAUCAUUAAGUAGCUUGCUUACUGGCUAGAAGAAUAUGGUGAAUCCCACUUUAAAAGUGGUACCUGCAGGAAAUCCAAGUAGGUACAUGUCCUUUGUUGAUAUUUCACUUAGAGAAACUGUGUUUCUAGUAGUUUCCAGGAUUCUUAAGGUUGCUAUAUAUUGUUAGGAAUUUAAGUUUGGAAAUGCCUUCUUCAGUGGUCCUUAAGGACCAUGAAAACAAAGACCCAGAGAGGAAUUCUAGUGUUUACUUUUUCUAGCAAUGCUCAAAUUAUCAAUGAGAGAGUGGAAUUUGACCCUUGAGAAGAAUCACUUGCCUAUUGGAAGAAAGUCUGCACCAUUCUCUUUAUUAAGUGCUUAUCACAAUGCCAUUGUUGGAAGUAACCAAUAUCUUAAUGUAAGUUUUUCUUACUAUUUACACCAUGCCUCCUGCCCCAUUCCUACCUCCAAAAAGGGGAAGAGUUCUAGGAGUAUAAAAGCAAAUAGACUCAGGGAGGAUGUGAGAAUGGAGUUAAUAUAAUUUGUAACUUUUUCCCCCUACAAUGUCCAAACAAAUUUGGUGAUUUUCUUUCUUGCUAUUCUAGGCUUUUUUAAAUUGCCUCUGACUAAAGUGGCACCUUAUGGGCUGCUUCAGAAAUUUUCUUCAGGAUUUAAAAAUGAAGCCGAUUCAUAUUCAGAGUCUUCCUGCUGAAAAUCUGUUAAGCCAAAAUAAAAAUGACUGCUACUUAAAUUUUUUUUCCUCUUUGUUGUUGCUGCAAACAUUGUCUCAGUUACAGGAGUUGCAAGAUCUCAUUUAUGCUUUGUACAAAUGGAGAGACGAACCAUCCCAGGACUACCAAUACAAGUCCUAAGGAUUAAAGUGUAUCUGCCUCAAUCAGAUAAAUGUGAGCUGCACUACUGAGUGUGGAGGCUUUUUUUUUAAGUGAAUUGUUCCAGUUGGCCUUAAUCCCUAAGCAAUAUAGCUCCUUUAAAACCAUCUUUAUUCAUUCACACCAAUUGACACUUAAAAUCCCCCAGCCACUGUUCAUCUAAGUCUAAAUAUAGCUGUUAGAGUCAAAUGUGUCUUAAGAGGAUUUUCAAUCUGAUUAUCCAAAAUACUAUUUAUUGUCAAUGUUUUUGGUGUGCCAUGGCCAAUCUUAUUAUUAUAAUGUCCAUAGCAUUUAACGGCGGCAGAGCCUAAAAUAUAUCACAGCAAUUGGGAUAACCUGAAGGAGGGCUUUUCUCCAGCUCCGCGCUGUCGUUCUGGCACAGCUUGUUGUGUGGUUAUGAACAUCAGAAAGAAUUCCUUAAUAAGCUCUUGCUCUCCUUCCAGACCCUUUUGGGCAAUCUCGCCCUCCAUGUUCUCUAAGUAGAGAGCAGUUACCAGGACAACAGAGAAUUUGAGGAAGAUUUAAUUGUGAUUUGAUGUCUAACCAGAAUAAGGAGCUAGUGCCUUGAAUUUAUAUUCUAGGUUUCCAAGCAAAUGUCAAUAUGCAUAUUUAUUAUUUUUGCCCUUCCUCAUUAUAAAAAGGAUUUUAAGAUGGCUGACUUUUUUUUUCUUAAUAUGGGAGAGGAGAAUGGGGAUGAUAAAUACUAAAAGGAUAGGAAAAACAAGCAGCAGCUUGUUAUGCAGGAAAUAUGCCAUUUAACAUUGUAAUAUCCUGCUUUUCUGGGGCUGACCUCAGUUUGACUCUCAACUUCCUAGUGGCCAAUGUAAUGAUGAAAACAUCACAUAUGUGAGGCACGGUGUCAGGCAGAACACAGUUAUUCCUGGUUCUGAAAUUGGCGUGGUGUUCUCCAUGGGGCCAGCACAUCAAUUGGUAUACAUCUCAAGCUGGAGUACGCAGUGCCUCAGGGCACAUGCCGUGGGAUAAAAAUGGCACAUUUCCUAAAGUGCUUCCAUCGGACUUAAUGCUGCCACGUAAGACACGCCUGCUUUUCCUUCCGCCAUGAUUAUAAGUUUCCUGAGGCUUCCCCAGCCAUGCAGAACUUAAAACACUGAACAGUGGCCCAGGUCAGUCCUUUCUCUUCUGCAUUUGGCUCUGGACAUAUUCAAGAGCUUGGUGGGCUCAUUAUGCACCGGCUAUGAUGAUGGUCAGUGGGAAACGCCAGCGCCUGUAGUGGAAAAACUAGCCUGGAAGAAUUUCCUAGGUACAAGGCUUAUCAGGAUCCAUCAAAAUAGAACUGCGUGGAAGAGGAAGAGAAUGCAUUGUGGGGAGAAAUUAACAUUAAAUCAAGUAAGACAUGUCUUUUAGAGAUUAGUGGGCUCACUGGAAGUUGAGACUUUCUGCAGAAAUUUCUUCUUACUGGACAGUGUGUGUGUAGAUUAGAUAAUCCAGGACAUAUUUAAUGAUGGAGAAUUUAUAAAGUUUUGUGAAAUGUACAAAUGUAAACAAGACUUGAGUUUGGCUCCUAGGUAUACUCCUAAUUAUUGGUGUGACCUUGUAUAACUAACUUAACCUCAGUACCUAGACCUGAGUGAAAAGAGAGAUGCUUUGAUUAUCACAAAACUGCUUCUUAGCACAAGAGUUUUAUGAGGUUCUAUUCCUGGUGUGAUUGUUGAGCUUGUCGUGGCAUUUGGACCAACCAUGUUCUUCUUGUUUUCACUGAAUUAGGAAUUUUGAAGUUGCUUUUUCUGACACUAAGUUUGGUUGAGAUGUAUGUCUACAUGCAUGUAUUGAACUCCUCACACUGCUGUUAUGUAGUCUAUGAUGUGCUUAUGUGCAUUAACAGAAAGACAAAAUACAGGGGGAAUCAAGCAGCUAUGGAUAUAAGAGCUCCCCUCCUGCCUCUACAGUAGUGACUGGAGGACGAGCCCUAUGAACAAAGGGGAGGUUAAAGGCAGAGAGUUCAAAUAGCUCACCAAGGAAGUAGCAGAGUGACAUUACAAGCAGACUCAUUCAAAAAGAAUUCCAUAGUUUUUCCAAGUGGCCUGGCUUACUUCCUGGGUCAUUGGUCCAAAAGUUGAAAUGGGACUCUGCUACUUCCCCUUAGAAUAUAUUUGUGUAGCAUGAACUAAGGGUUUUAAUUACAAAAAUAGUCGUCUGAUUUAAGAAGAAAAGUAAUUAUUGGAAAAAUAUUAGGUAACUCAGGAAUCACUCAAAAGAUGGAAAGACUGUAUGCAGGCUAUCCAGCCAAACCGUCAGAAGGGCUCGGUGGAGAUGCCAUUGUUACCACUGAAUGCCAGAUUCAGGGCGGGUUUGCCAUCCAGGCUAUUCCUCGGCCAUGUGGCUUAUACACUAAUUGCAAAGGAGGCUGGAGAAGUGGGUUCUGGGCAUUAUCAGCACAGCUUCAUAAGACUCAUAAGGUGGGAAUACUAAGAUUCAUAAGGUGGGAAUUUCCUAAUUACACAAGUGGGCUCAAGCUUUGGGAAGCCAAAAAUUAAAAACAAAACACAAAUAUCUAUGAAAGCCCUUCCCUUUGGUAGCUGAUACCAUAAACCCUGCUCUAAUGCCAUAGUAAGUUCCAAAACGAAUCAAAGCUUAUAGAAGGAGGGGUUGUAUUAUUGUGAAAUAACUGAGUGAGACAGCACAGCUAGCUGGACGAGAGUUCUGAGAGUCCUACUGCAGGAUUUAAUUGUGUCCUGGUCCCGGGUGCCAUCUGGUACCAUUUGGGGCAGCUGUCAACCCCUAGCUUAAAUAUCAAGAAAAUGAUUCUGGAUUCUGCAGUCGGAAUGGAUUCCAGAACAGUUACAGUGCUUCUAAAACUCUCCCACUUGAUUGGUUCCCAUUUCAUUGCCCUGAUCCGGGGAGAAUACCAAGGAUGUAGGAGCAUAAUCUCCAUCUCUCAUCCUUCCCAAACAAGGGCUGCCUGGUGUCUGCUAUUUCCUACUUGGCUUCAUCCUUCCUCCAUAUUUCUCAGUCCUGCUGCAGAGGAUAAGAAAUUUAGCCUGCCUGCAUUUAAACAGGGGUUGGGCAGAGGACAGCGGCAAUCACUAGUUGUGUUAUAUUCAAGUUUGCAGUAUGAGAUGGUGCGUUAUUUAGAAAUUUUACCUUAUCAACAAUAUUUCUUCUUUCUACAUUUAUACUUCAAAACCAAAAUAUGACAAAACAAAAAUCCCUCCCUCCUACCCAUCAUAUCAUAAAAACCAAAUUCAUCCAUUCCCCUGAAGGGAGGCAAUCCAACAUCUCAUAAGAACUGUGACCA